CUAAGAGGUCAGGCCCGCAUACCGUUAGGGCAGUAACAAACAUUUUAAACAAAGGUCUAUUCCGGAUUAGCUUAGACUGAGCAAAAACAGUAGCAGCGAUCAAUUAGGCCUUUUGAAAAGAACCGAGCCGUUUUCGAAAGAGAAAGGCCUAAAGCAGUCGCAAAGUACGGCAGUGUUGUUAGCAGAACCUUGCAUCAAAAGAUGUUCCCAAGCCCUUUCAUUGUCUGUAAAUCGGGCGCAGGUGUUCACGUCUCGCUAUCCUAUUUCUUUGGUUUCGUUGAUUUAUGCAGUUGUAGAAACCUUUUUAACACCAACUGAACGACUGGUUAGACUGUUUUGUGGGCCAAACAUAUGCUAAGUUUUCCACUAAGAAAGUCAGCCUGCCUGGUUGCUGAAAAUUGCUGGUUAACGAUGUUUUGAAAACUCUAACGUGACGAAUUUGAAAUCUGAUUUGUUUGCAAAUAAACUAAUCAAAGAUCUAAAUCAUUCGUUCAACCGACCGUGGACCAUAACAAACGCGGAGGCAAAGCAUUUCUUUCCUGUAUACAUAUGAUCAGGAUGCCGUGGUGUGUUGCUUUAAUAGUUUGACGGGACCACAGAGACCAUUUCAAAAUAUGAAGCUGCGACUGGGAUGACCCAGAUUGAUCCCAACCAAGCACGGAGUGGACUACAAACACGUAUCUACCCGUUUGCAUAUCGCUAUCGGC